GCGGGUGUGGCGGAAUUGGCAGACGCACUAGACUUAGGAUCUAGCGCCUUACGGCGUGGGGGUUCGACUCCCUUCGCCCGCA
rnacentral:tRNA from 1 species